rnacentral:misc_RNA from 1 species
GAUGAAGAACGUAGCGAAAUGCGAUACUUGGUGUGAAUUGCAGAAUUCCGUGAACCAUCGAGUCUUUGAACGCAAGUUGCGCCCGAAGCCAUUAGGCCGAGGGCACGCCUGCCUGGGCGUCACACGUCGUUGCCCCCCCAUCUACUCCUUCGGGAUUGCGGGGGGCGGAUGAUGGCCUCCCGUGCGCCUCGCCGCGCGGUUGGCAUAAAUGCCAAGUCCUCGGCGACGCACGCCACGACAAUCGGUGGUUGCGAAACCUCGGUUGCCCGUCGUGUGCGGUCGUCGCGCAUCGAGGGCUCGAAAAAAUUGCCGGGUUCCGGCUCGGCUUUCAACGCGACCCCAGGUCAGGCGGGGUUACCCGCUGAAUUUAAGCAUAUCAAUAAGCGGAGGA